AUGAGUUUGUAUCACUGUGGUGGACUUUUGGUGGAGGAACCAGACUGGAGGUUGGAAUCUAAAACUGUCAGAGCCGUGUCUCUUCAGUCAGAGGUUUUUGUACGGCGCCUCAAUGAGUUUAUAUCACUGUGGUACACGUUCGGUGGAGGAACCAGACUACAUGUCGGAAGUGAUACCCGCCCCACCCUGACAGUGCUGCCCCCCUCCAAUGAGGAGCUGCAGCAGGAGAAGGUUACCCUCCUGUGUCUGGCCAACAAGGGCUUCCCCUCAGACUGGACUCUGUCCUGGGAGCUGGACGGCAGCAGAACCAGCUUCACCUGGGAGGAGAGCAAGAGCUCUGUGGUGCUGCAGAAUGACGGCCUCUAUAGCUGGAGCAGCACCCUGAGGCUCCCUGCAGACCAGUGGAGGAAGGUGGGCUCUGUGACCUGUGAGGCCUCCCAGGGCUCCCAGUCUGCAGUCAAAGAGACGCUGAGGAAAAACCAGUGUCUCCAGUCCUGAGCUGAUUCAUUAGAAGAUCACUAGUUUCUCUCUGCUACUGCUGUCUUUGUUGUUUAAGUAUUUCUCUCCUUUUUCUUUCUUAUUUCUUUUGUUCUUCUACAACAUGAUUGUUUAAAUAAAACUUCCUAAAAAUA